UACGUAGGGGGCAAGCGUUAUCCGGAUUUACUGGGUGUAAAGGGAGCGUAGACGGCUGUGCAAGCCAGAUGUGAAAGCCCGGGGCUCAACCCCGGGACUGCAUUUGGGACUGUGUGGCUGGAGUGUCGGAGAGGCAGGCGGAAUUCCUAGUGUAGCGGUGAAAUGCGUAGAUAUUAGGAGGAACACCAGUGGCGAAGGCGGCCUGCUGGACGAUGACUGACGUUGAGGCUCGAAAGCGUGGGGAGCAAACAGG
rnacentral:rRNA from 1 species